UACAUUUUAGUAUUGCUAAGUUUGUUGCAAGGCGUAUUUUUAUGGAAGUAGCAUACAUUUUGGGGAGAGUUAUAACAUUUUGACUUGAGCGAAAGAGUUUUAUUUAUCAAAUCUCGCAACGCAAGUACUCAUUGGCCGCUGAAUUUUUCCCAUCAUCCCACGCGGGAGAGCGCGAGGCUGGCUAUAAAAUGGUCUUCCUCCCUUUAUUCGGUCUCAGUCUUCCGUUUGGCUUGGUUUGACUUCUUCAGAGAUGCAGAAAGCCUCUAACGUCACCCAUAUGGCGUGGCCACAAAGAAGAAUGCAGUUACUUAAAAUGAUCCACAUGGCACAUGAAUCACCUACAUGACUGAUUAAAAGGAGUUUCCUGACAUAUUCCAGGGCAAAGUUUCACAAGCCGGUAAAAGGGCAGCGUGGCAAAAGAUGAUUUUCGUGAGGCCUGUGUUGGAGGAAAACAACAAUCACUGCUUGGUUACGGUGUCCAAGAAAGGUGGAGGAUAUCACACAAGGGUGUAGACCAGCCCCUUUGCGUCGGUGCCACCGGCAAACACGGCUGAGUCAAAGAUAACCGGAUGUCACCUGGCUGACCUUGGUAUUGAAGCUGAAGAGUGGUCGUGGUGAUCAGAUGGAAGUGGAUCGUAGUCCCAACACUCGCCAUUUUUUCAGCUACUGACAGGCUAGACCAGGAGUGCUCGUUGCAUCUUUUUGCGAGCUACCGGUCCAUCAGAACUGGAGGCUCGAGAGAAGACUGAGUCUACGCUACAGAGAGAUUGGCAAUUGUCUUUCAGAGUUUGACAAACUCAAGAUAUUUCUUUCCUUGAGCCAUUUGCUAUAUUAAUGUGCAGUCAUUUUCAGGAAGAUUUUGUUGAUUGAGUCACAAAACAGUACUGCAAUGUUUAAUAUGAAUGCUUCUGUGCAGUGGGAAAAAUGACAUUGACAGUCUAAUAGUACAGCCGAUGUUUGGGAUGCUAUUUGACCUUUUGAAUUGCUUGUAUCUUGCCGAGGUCUGCAUGUCAUAACAGAAGUAACAAAAGAUGAGUGAGUUGAAAUUGAGUUACACAAGUAUGUAGAGGAUGAAAAGUUUGACCUGAAAAAUGGCACUGUCUUGCAGCGAUCCGGCUGUCUGGUUGACACUAGUAUCAUGCCUCACUUUUGUGCAAUCUGAUGGACUGCUGUCUAAAUUUCCAGUGCAUAAACAUUUUCUAAGUUGUAAUGGCUGUCAAAAUAUUAAUAUACUGCAUGAAUUGUGGCAAUUGACAUUAAGUGAUGGUGCACUUGAGACAUGGCUGGAACUACCAAUAAGGGCAAACCCAAUCACUUGAUUCUGAACCAGUGGCCCGCUGAGUUCAACUUUUUUUUUUGGGGUGAGCG